UUUCUUUUACUGUCACUCAAAUUCCAAUAUCAUAUCAUAUCACUGGAAUUAACAAUUUUAUUAUGGAGAGGUUAAAUUAUAACAUAUAAAUUAGACCUAUUUGCGUUAUACCUCCUAAUACAAAAUAUGUCGGAAGACAGAGAAGCGAGACGAGAGGCUCGUAGAAGGAAAAUUUUGGAAAAUUCCGAAAACAGGCUGCAAAAAAUCACAGGAGUCCAAAAUCGUAUUAGCACUUUCGAUAUUGAUGGGUAUAAGAGCCCCCAAACUCCCAAUGAACCAGACGGAAUCCCCUUGACAAAUGGGAGUACUUCCCGAGACUCUUCGUCACACCUACAAGAUGUUUUAAUAAAAAACUCCAUUUUAGGUCAAGUAAAUAAUGUUAAUAGCCCUAAAGUGAAUCUUUUCGCUAACAGGAUUUCCAUUAUAUUUUGCCUUGCCAUUCUCCAUAAUUGCUUCUUAGCCAUUUUCAACAUCAAACAAAUAUUUAUUUCAAUCCUAUGUUUUGAAGCAAUAGACAUAUUAUUUUAUAGUGAACACAAACCUACCCCCUUUCUUAUAAAGGCGCUCGCAUUAAUUAAAGUGAAUAUACCAAAAAGGCAAGUGGUUUUGGCGGUGAGAUGUUUCAAUUUAUUAAAGACAUUUUUUGAGGAUGUACUGUUGUAUUUUUUUUUCUUUAUUUGCAUAUUUUUUGUUCUAUGUUGGCUUUCGCAAGAAAAAAUAACAUUUGUAUCAUGACUUAUUGUGUAAUUAAUAUAAAUUUAUUGGGAUUGUU